rnacentral:rRNA from 1 species
GGGUUGUGAGGUUAAGCGACUAAGCGUACACGGUGGAUGCCCUGGCAGUCAGAGGCGAUGAAGGACGUGCUAAUCUGCGAUAAGCGUCGGUAAGGUGAUAUGAACCGUUAUAACCGGCGAUUUCCGAAUGGGGAAACCCAGUGUGAUCCGUCACACUAUCAUUAACUGAAUCCAUAGGUUAAUGAGGCGAACCGGGGGAACUGAAACAUCUAAGUACCCCGAGGAAAAGAAAUCAACCGAGAUUCCCCCAGUAGCGGCGAGCGAACGGGGAGGAGCCCAGAGCCUGAAUCAGUAUGUGUGUUAGUGGAAGCGUCUGGAAAGGCGUGCGAUACAGGGUGACAGCCCCGUACACAAAAAUGCACAUGCUGUGAGCUCGAUGAGUAGGGCGGGACACGUGGUAUCCUGUCUGAAUAUGGGGGGACCAUCCUCCAAGGCUAAAUACUCCUGACUGACCGAUAGUGAACCAGUACCGUGAGGGAAAGGCGAAAAGAACCCCGGCGAGGGGAGUGAAAAAGAACCUGAAACCGUGUACGUA